rnacentral:lncRNA from 1 species
CUGCCUUCGUCACACGCGCAAAAGAGAGAGAGAGAGAGAGCUCAAAGCUCUUCUGGAAACUAGAGAGAGAAGAAGCGUGGAAGUCCUUGCAAGCGAUCAACCAUGGAUGUUGGGAGGAGAAGAGAUGGAGAUCUACACAACGGCAUCAUGAAAGGUAAGAAAAGAAUAAACUUUGUUUGAUUCUCUUAAAUGAUAUUUUUGCAUCAUACAACUGUUGAAAAUGAAAGGGGAAACUCUAUUUAUAGAGUUUAUGGGAAGAAGGGAAAAACCAAAAAUCAUAAAACCUUAACUAACUAAAAUAAAUUGAUUAUUGUCUUUAGACAGUAAUCUAACCAAUUAUAUUCGGUCUCAAUACCUUUAUCUUAUUAUCUCACGUAUUGAUUGCUUUAUUUUUCACUUUAUUUUUCCCAUUUCCUCCUUUAUAAUAUAAUUAUUUUUCGUUUCCAUUGUUGUUUCAGUUUGCAGAUAGAUUGAAUGUUGUGAACAAUGGCUUCAUUCAAGGCCUUAUACAGUAUGUCUGUCUUUUUUAGAAGUAUAUAUCAUCUCGGUUAUGUAAAUAACCGAUAUCAUAUCUACUUUCUAUAAUGGUUUCCUAGACAACCGAAACCAACAAGUUGAUCAAAAUUUUAAAAUUGUCACUUGCUUUUUCAUUUUUUUUUCUAAGAAGGACACAUGACAUCGGUUAUUGGAACAACCGAUACCAAAAGGUUGAUGAAAAGGUUAAAAUUGUCACUGAAAUUUAUAAUUUUUUUUAUUUGAUUAAAAGUCUUUAGGCAUCAGUGUUACGAAUAAUUGCUGCCAUAUGUUUGUCUAGGGUUAAAUUCGCAAAAGAAACAUAGGUUACCACUUCAAAGUCUGUGAACUAGUGUCAUUGUCUAUUGCUCAACUCACUUCAUAUGAUUGUCGUGGUUUUUUUUUCGGUGUUUUUGUGUUUGUGUUUGUUCCUUAGAUUAAUCUGUUGUUAAUAUUUGUCUGGAUUAGCACUGUGACAGGAUUAUGGUGGGAUUUGAAAUAUUUCUCUUAAACAUGAUCUCCAUUCUUUUUCAUUGUUGCUCGCCUCUCACACUUCCAUUGUCUUAUAUUUGUCAUGAAAAUUUAUCUUUAAUACGAGCCUAUAAUUUUCUAGCAUGUUGUUUAUUUUUUGUAUGUUGAAUUUAUGAUUAAUUUUAUGCUUAAAUAUAUUUUAUAAGGUUGGCUAAUAAUCUUCCACUUUCCACUGGUCAUGAAUAUAAGUGACCCAAAUUGCUAACACCAAUUUCUAGGAUAGGGUGAUGGAAAAGAGAAUUCAGAUGAGGCUAAGAGGGUAAGAGAGUUAGGGAUUAUCGAAGAAGAGAACUUAACUGUGAUGGACGAAGCUCAAGCAACAAUGGUGAAAAACGAAGGACGUGACUCAGGCGAAGGACGCGACUUAGGCAAAGGACUCAACUCAGGCGAGGACGCGACUUAGGCGAAGAAUGCGACUCAGGCGGACGAUGAAGACUCAGACCAGUGUAAUGAACAACACAAAACGGUGUCCAAGAGCAACUUUGGAGAGAAUUAUGAAGAAGAGGUGUGCCGAAGUGUAGAAGAGAUCAUGGAAAUUAGAGAGAAGAAAAAUGUGAGCAUGGAAGGCCAAAUUAUUUCGCUCUUUUUUAGCUAUUUCCAUCCCAAUGCGCCAAAAGCAUUUGUUUUUUUUAAAAGAAAUCAUAACUUUACUGCAGUUUUUAUAAAAACCGCCUGAAUUUAUUGGAGGUUUCCAUAACCGCCAAAAAUAAACCUCCACUAAAAUAUAUUAUUUUUGUAGUGGUACGACAAAUAAUGAAAAGUAUUAGUGUAUAAUGACUCUCAAAUUUAGAUGACUACAAAAUAGAAAAACAAAGUGAU